UGCGAAGGUGAUCUGGUUGUCACAUCUGUCACCCUACUGAUCACCAGGGUUGAUAUGGCUGAUGUGUUUGGCUAGGUAGGUCCCAUCCUCCCUCACUGAACCAUGUGCAUCCUUCCUGAACCUGUGCCUUUGAUGGAAAAGGACAACCUUCUCUGAUAGAGAAGGACCAUUUUUUGGUCAAGUGCAAAUGAGUAGAUGUGCUCCCCUUGGUAGAACCUCCAAACAUUCUCUCAAGUGUCCACUGAUUCAGGUUUGUGAGACACAAGCUGCUGUUGUGAAGAGACAGAUAUCUCAAACACUUAAACUCAAACCCUUCUACAGAG
rnacentral:snRNA from 1 species